GUACCGAGAUGACUAUAGAGAUAAAGGCUAUAGGAGGAGAAGUCGCAGCAGGAGUCGGGACAGAUAUGAGCGUGAAAAGUAUCGUGCUAGGGACAGAGACUAUCGUCGACGGAGCAGGAGUCGCAGUGUCAGUCCUGAUCACUCUAGAGGCCGGGGCAGAGGGCAUUAUGAUGAUGAGCGGAGGAGUAGCAGUCGAUCAGUGGAUA
rnacentral:misc_RNA from 1 species